rnacentral:rRNA from 1 species
AUUGAACGCUGGCGGCAGGCUUAACACAUGCAAGUCGAGCGGGGGAGGUUGCUUCGGUAACUGACCUAGCGGCGGACGGGUGAGUAAUGCUUAGGAAUCUGCCUAUUAGUGGGGGACAACAUCUCGAAAGGGAUGCUAAUACCGCAUACGUCCUACGGGAGAAAGCAGGGGACCUUCGGGCCUUGCGCUAAUAGAUGAGCAUAAGUCGGAUUAGCUAGUUGGUGGGGUAAAGGCCUACCAAGGCGACGAUCUGUAGCGGGUCUGAGAGGAUGAUCCGCCACACUGGGACUGAGACACGGCCCAGACUCCUACGGGAGGCAGCAGUGGGGAAUAUUGGACAAUGGGGGGAACCCUGAUCCAGCCAUGCCGCGUGUGUGAAGAAGGCCUUUUGGUUGUAAAGCACUUUAAGCGAGGAGGAGGCUACUGGUAUUAAUACUACCGGAUAGUGGACGUUACUCGCAGAAUAAGCACCGGCUAACUCUGCGCCAGCAGCCGCGGUAAUAC